rnacentral:rRNA from 1 species
GACGGAGGAUGCAAGUGUUAUCCGGAAUCACUGGGCGUAAAGCGUCUGUAGGUGGUUUAAUAAGUCAACUGUUAAAUCUUGAGGCUCAACCUCAAAAUCGCAGUCGAAACUAUUAGGCUAGAGUAUAGUAGGGGUAAAGGGAAUUUCCAGUGGAGCGGUGAAAUGCGUAGAGAUUGGAAAGAACACCGAUGGCGAAGGCACUUUACUGGGCUAUUACUAACACUCAGAGACGAAAGCUAAGGUAGCAAAUGGG